rnacentral:sRNA from 1 species
UUAUAAGAAAUUACCUUUUUUUACUACCCUUAUGCAACAAUACCCUUUUAUAUUGUUCAUUUUUAAAAAUAUCCCUUCCCUUGAACAUAAUGACCAAAUUACCCUCAUCUAAUAAGAACAUGUAAUUGGAAACUUUCAGUUUUUGGCGCCAAAAUUUAUUUUUUCCGCCAAAAAAAAAAUUUCCGCCAAACUUUUUUUCCCGCCAAAAAAAAAUUCCCGCCAAAAAAAAAAAUUCCCGCCAAAAUUUUUUCUUGUAAAAUUUUUUUCCCAGCCAAAAAAAUGCUUUUAAAAAUCCUUGUAAAUUUUUAAAAACUCUUUUAAAAAACCUUGUAAAGUUUUUUAAAAGCUUUGGUAGUUGCUAAAAAGCCUUGUAAAUCAUUUUAAAACCUUUUAAAAUCUUUA